rnacentral:misc_RNA from 1 species
AGCUUAAUUGGCUAGAGCGCCGACACGGUAUGUCGGAGGCGCGGGUUCGAACCCCGCUGGAGCGGUCAAUUUUUGAUAUGAUAUUCAAAAAUUUUUAUUAUUAUUAUUAACCUUUUUUAUCUUAUCACUCUUGCGCUACUGUAUCUCGCGGUAACAUCGUUUCUCACCACCAUAUGAGUAGACUGGUAGCUCUUAUAGAAAUAAAGUUCGCCCUUGCUAACAUUCUUUGUAAACGUGAUUUAUACUUAUGUUUUUAAAAAGCAAUAAAGAAUAUAUAAACAAAGGUUUUGAAAUCCAUUUAAUUAUAGCGCCGUCCCCGGAGAAUAAAAUAAUAAUUACAAAAAUGCUUCUUUCAAAUACAAAUAAAAAUCGUGUUUUGGUCUUUUGCUCCUUAAAUACUAGACGCAGUUUUAUGAUAGAUAGCUUUAAAAAGGCGAAAUAUAAAUCUAAACAUGAAAUUAAACAAAGCCGUAGUCACUAGUCACAACUAGUAAAGAACGUAUGUCUCAAUUGAUCACGUGUAGUUAAUUAAAAAAUGAUUUAGGAAACCUUUCAGCCGGAAGAAACACUAAAACAUCUAAUCAUAUCCGUUUAUCUACAAUGUGAAAGCUCUGACCUUGUCGUGUCUUAUCGCGAGGCUUAGGAACUAUAAUAUAAUAUACGUAUUUGGCACUGUGUAGUUUUUACUUAUAAGCAGCUUUACGUUUUUGGAUAUUUAUGGUUUUAUUUAAUUAAUUUUGUAUAUCGCUCUGUGAAAUAAUUAAUUGUUGGUAAGCUAUAUAAAGCUACUUUAAUACUUACAAUGCAUUUAGGUUGUUUGAUAGAAUUAUUUAUAAUAUUGUACAGUAUUUAUGAAAACUAAUAUAUACACGAAUUUUUGUAGAAAAACGUGCAAAAAAUUCACGAGCGCACAGCGAAUAUGCAAUUUAUAACAUGUAAGAGUUAAAAAAUGGCGCUAUAGAUCUAUGGACUUCCGGUCAGAACAAAGCUUCUUUCGCUUUUUGGUAGACGUUUGUUAUACAGUCAUAAUUUAUACUGUAAAAUAUCAAAAAGAAUCAUCAAAAUCGGUAAAACCAGUAAAAAGU